CCUACGGGAGGCAGCAGUGAGGAAUAUUGGUCAAUGGACGAGAGUCUGAACCAGCCAAGUAGCGUGAAGGAUGACUGCCCUAUGGGUUGUAAACUUCUUUUAUAUGGGAAUAAAACGUUCCACGUGUGGGAUUUUGUAUGUACCAUAUGAAUAAGGAUCGGCUAACUCCGUGCCAGCAGCCGCGGUAAUACGGAGGAUCCGAGCGUUAUCCGGAGUUAUUGGGUUUAAAGGGAGCGUAGGUGGAUUGUUAAGUCAGUUGUGAAAGUUUGCGGCUCAACCGUAAAAUUGCAGUUGAAACUGGCAGUCUUGAGUACAGUAGAGGUGGGCGGAAUUCGUGGUGUAGCGGUGAAAUGCUUAGAUAUCACGAAGAACUCCGAUUGCGAAGGCAGUUCACUGGACUGCAACUGACACUGAGGCUAGAAAGUGUGGGUAUCAAACAGGAUUAGAUACCCUGGUAGUC
rnacentral:rRNA from 1 species